rnacentral:ncRNA from 1 species
GAGCCGUAUGCGGUGAGAGUCGCACGUACGGUAACGAGGGGGGUUCGCGUCUAUAUGUGUAGUGUGGUGGUUGGGCCUACCCACCCUAU